UACGAAGGGGGCUAGCGUUGCUCGGAAUUACUGGGCGUAAAGGGCGCGUAGGCGGAUAGUUUAGUCAGAGGUGAAAGCCCAGGGCUCAACCUUGGAAUUGCCUUUGAUACUGGCUAUCUUGAGUUCGGAAGAGGUAAGUGGAAUGCCGAGUGUAGAGGUGAAAUUCGUAGAUAUUCGGCGGAACACCAGUGGCGAAGGCGACUUACUGGUCCGAUACUGACGCUGAGGCGCGAAAGCGUGGGUAGCAAACGGG
rnacentral:rRNA from 1 species